CGAUUAAUGAAAACCUAUGGAUGGCCUAUCCAAAUAGGCUGAAAACGUUAGAAAUAAAGAGAAAACAUUCAACAAAUGGAAUUCAGCUGACAAAAUAAAAGUCAAUUGGACAAAAAGACAAAUUUUCUGGAAUCUGUUUUGCACUUUGAUAUAUCAAGGGAUUCAGUUGCACCUGAUAAGAAGAUACCAUUGAAGAUUUUUAAUUGGAAUCUGGUUCCUAUCGAUUCUAAUUUUAAUAUCCAGUUACAGUAUUACUCUAAUGUCUUCUAUGUGUUUUCUUCUGAGAGAAGAUGCACCUAGAAAUUUUAAUGAGUUAGCUUCUGCGAUCAAUAAAGAUGACUACAAUUGUGGAAC